AGUGAACGUUGGCGGCGUAGAUUAGGCAUGCGAGUCGAGCGAGAACCGUAGCAAUACGGGGACAGCGGCGAAAGGGACAGUAAUAUGUAGGUACCUACCCUCGGGUCCGGGAUAGCUGCGGGAAACUGCAGGUAAUACCGGAUGACAUCUCCGGAUCAAAGGUGUGAUUCCGCCCGGGGAGGGGCCUGCAUCCUAUUAGCUAGUUGGCGGGGUAACGGCCCACCAAGGCGACGAUGGGUAGCGGGUGGGAGAGCACGACCCGCGUCAUUGGGACUGAGGCACGGCCCAGACACCUACGGGUGGCUGCAGGCGAGAAUCUUCGGCAAUGGGGGAAACCCUGACCGAGCGACGCCGCGUGCGGGAUGAAGGCCUUCGGGUUGUAAACCGCUGUCGUAGAGGAGGAAAUGCAGGGGGGUUCUCCCCUCUGUUUGACCUAGUCUAGGAGGAAGGACGGGCUAAGUUCGUGCCAGCCGCCGCCGUAA
rnacentral:rRNA from 1 species